AGAAGAAAAUGAAGAUUAUGAAAGAGAUGUGAGUAUUACCUGUGAGAUUGAGAAGAUAAAAAUCUUAAAUUGAGACUUGGAGAAGAUGAAGACUGCGGGUUGUCUGCGUUUCUGGCUUUCUG